UGUCAGAGCGAACGCUGGCGGCAGGCUUAACACAUGCAAGUCGAGCGGGCAUAGCAAUAUGUCAGCGGCAGACGGGUGAGUAACGCGUGGGAACGUACCUUUUGGUUCGGAACAACACAGGGAAACUUGUGCUAAUACCGGAUAAGCCCUUACGGGGAAAGAUUUAUCGCCGAAAGAUCGGCCCGCGUCUGAUUAGCUAGUUGGUGGGGUAAUGGCCCACCAAGGCGACGAUCAGUAGCUGGUCUGAGAGGAUGAUCAGCCACAUUGGGACUGAGACACGGCCCAAACUCCUACGGGAGGCAGCAGUGGGGAAUAUUGGACAAUGGGCGCAAGCCUGAUCCAGCCAUGCCGCGUGAGUGAUGAAGGCCCUAGGGUUGUAAAGCUCUUUUGUGCGGGAAGAUAAUGACGGUACCGCAAGAAUAAGCCCCGGCUAACUUCGUGCCAGCAGCCGCGGUAAUACGAAGGGGGCUAGCGUUGCUCGGAAUCACUGGGCGUAAAGGGUGCGUAGGCGGGUCUUUAAGUCAGGGGUGAAAUCCUGGAGCUCAACUCCAGAACUGCCUUUGAUACUGAAGAUCUUGAGUUCGGGAGAGGUGAGUGGAACUGCGAGUGUAGAGGUGAAAUUCGUAGAUAUUCGCAAGAACACCAGUGGCGAAGGCGGCUC
rnacentral:rRNA from 1 species